CGUCAAGUCCUCAUGGCCCUUAUGACCAGGGCUACACACGUGCUACAAUGGCCGGUACAAUGCGUUGCCAACUCGCGAGAGGGAGCUAAUCGCACAAAACCGGUCUCAGUUCGGAUUGGAGUCUGCAACUCGACUCCAUGAAGUCGGAAUCGCUAGUAAUCGCAGAUCAGCACGCUGCGGUGAAUACGUUCCCGGGCCUU
rnacentral:rRNA from 1 species